rnacentral:rRNA from 1 species
UACAGAGGGUGCUAGCGUUGUUCGGAAUCAUUGGGCGUAAAGGGCGUGUAGGCGGUUUGUUAAGUCAUGUGUGAAAUCCCUCGGCUCAACCGGGGAACGACGCAUGAAACUGGCAGCUAGAGUACCAAAGAGGGGGUGGAAUUCCCGGUGUAGCGGUGAAAUGCGUAGAUAUCGGAGGAACACCUGUGGCGAAGGCGGCCCCUGGUGGAUACUGACGCUGAGACGCGAAGC